GAUGAACGUUGGCGGCGUGCCUAAUACAUGCAAGUCGAACGAAGACUGUAGUAAUACUGUCUUAGUGGGCGAACGGGGUUGAGGUAACGCGUGGGUGACCUGCCCCGAAGUGUGGGAUAACAGUUCGAAAGGAUUGCUAAUACUGCAUAAUAUCCAAGAGAUUAGACGCUUUUGGAUUAAAGGAGUAAUUCGCUUCGGGAGGGGCCCGCGUCCCAUCAGCUAGUUGGUAAGGUAAAUGGCUUACCAAGGCGAUGACGGGUAGGGGACCUGAGAGGGUGGCCCCCCCACAAUGGAACUGAAACACGGUCCAUACACCUACGGGUGGCAGCAGUAGGGAAUAUUAGUAAUGGGCGAAAGCCUGAACUAGCAACGCCGCGUGUGCGAAGAAGGCCUUCGGGUUGUAAAGCACUUUUUGAGAGGAUGAGGAAGGACGGUACUCUCAGAAUAAGUCUCGGCUAACUACGUG
rnacentral:rRNA from 1 species